rnacentral:lncRNA from 1 species
CUUUAUUAAUUAGGUGAACUGUGGAAGGUAAAGUCGUAACAAGACGGCCCUUGAAGAAAUGGUGGUGACAUCAUGAGCUGCAUGUCCCGUAACUCUGCGUGACUAGAACAUCAUGUCAUGAAAGGAUUUUUGAAUACUCAUUUUUAAAGAAAUGCAGUAUGAUAUAGCAUUUAAGUAAAAUAGUAAGUUUCUAUUGUAAAUGUUGUAAGUUAUUGUAAAUGUUUGUAAAAUAGUAAGUUUCUAUUGUAAAUGUUGUAAGUACAACUAUACUAACAGGAAUUGUUUGUAAAACGGUGAAUAGAGAAUCAC